CGGACGGGUGAGUAACGCGUGGAAAACCUGCCGUAUACUGGGGGAUAACACUUAGAAAUAGGUGCUAAUACCGCAUAAGCGCACAGCUUCGCAUGAAGCGGUGUGAAAAACUCUGGUGGUAUACGAUGGUUCCGCGUCUGAUUAGCUAGUUGGUGGGGUAAUGGCCUACCAAGGCAACGAUCAGUAGCCGGCCUGAGAGGGUGAACGGCCACAUUGGGACUGAGACACGGCCCAAACUCCUACGGAAGGCAGCAG
rnacentral:rRNA from 1 species